AGCAGCGAUGUGAAGCAAAUCGCACCAAAGCCGGUCCCAGUUCGGAUAAGAGGCUGAAACUCGCCUCUUUGAAGUCGGAAUCGCUAGUAAUCGCAGAUCAGCAUGUUGCGGUGAAUACGUUUCCUGGUCUUGUACACACCGCCCGUCAAACCAUGAGAGUCGCCAACACCCGAAGUCCGCUUUGCGGCCUAAGGUGGGGAGAUGAUUGGGGUUAAGUCGUAACAAGGUACC
rnacentral:rRNA from 1 species